AUGGGCCCGCUUGAACAGGAUCUGUUCUAUAGGCUCGUACCACUGCAUCCUUGAUUUUUAAGGAGACAGGAAACCAAGUCUAGUGGAUGAUUCGUAGCCAUUAGACCGAUUUUUAAGGAGACAGGAAACCAAGUCUAGUGGAUGAUUCGUAGCCAUUAGACCGAUUUUUAAGGAGACAGGAAACCAAGUCUAGUGGAUGAUUCGUAGCCAUUAGACCAGAGCGUGAUUAAUAGCUUCCAUGAUCCUCGGGUCAUGGUGCCAUAGAUGAUCGUUCUUAACCUCGAUCAUGGGUGUUGAGAUGGUCUAAUGGUUGUCUGACAGACU
rnacentral:snoRNA from 2 species